AUCGAUGAAGAACGCAGCGAAAUGCGAUAAGUAAUGUGAAUUGCAGAAUUCAGUGAAUCAUCGAAUCUUUGAACGCACAUUGCGCCCCUUGGUAUUCCGGGGGGCAUGCCUGUUCGAGCGUCAUUAUAACCCUCAAGCCUAGCUUGGUGUUGGAGCCUGCCUCUGGGCAGCUCUUAAAAUCAGUGGCGGUGCCGUCUGGCUCUAAGCGUAGUAAUUUUUCUCGCUACAGGGUCCUGCGGUUGCUUGCCAACAACCCCAAAUUUUCUAUGGUUGACCUCGGAUCAGGUAGGGAUACCCGCUGAACUUAAGCAUAUCAAUAAGCGGAGGAAAAGAAACCAACAGGGAUUGCCUCAGUAACGGCGAGUGAAGCGGCAACAGCUCAAAUUUGAAAUCUGGCUCUUUCAGGGUCCGAGUUGUAAUUUGUAGAAGAUGCUUCGGGUGUGGUUCCGGUCUAAGUUCCUUGGAACAGGACGUCAUAGAGGGUGAGAAUCCCGUAUGUGACCGGCUACCUUCGCUCAUGUGAAGCUCUUUCGACGAGUCGAGUUGUUUGGGAAUGCAGCUCAAAAUGGGUGGUAAAUUUCAUCUAAAGCUAAAUAUUGGCCAGAGACCGAUAGCGCACAAGUAGAGUGAUCGAAAGAUGAAAAGCACUUUGGAAAGAGAGUUAAAUAGUACGUGAAAUUGUUGAAAGGGAAGCGCUUGCAAUCAGACUUGCACGCAGUUGAUCAUCCGGUGUUCUCACCGGUGCACUCUGCUGCGUUCAGGCCAGCAUCGGUUCUGGUGGUUGGAUAAAGGCCUUGGGAAUGUAGCUCCUUUCGGGGAGUGUUAUAGCCCUCGGUGCAAUGCAGCCUACCGGGACCGAGGACCGCGCUUCGGCUAGGAUGCUGGCGUAAUGGUUGUAAGCGACCCGUCUUGAAACACGG
rnacentral:rRNA from 1 species